rnacentral:lncRNA from 1 species
CAAGGCGUGCUAGGCUGGUCCCACCUGAGCCGAACUAGGUUAGUUAGAGAUAGAGUUAGGCAAUAUUCUUGUAACCUCUUUCAUCUCUAUCUUCUCUCUUUGACUUGGUUCGCAAGAUGUAAUCGUGCCUACCUGUAUGCUUAUCUCAGGGAUACGCCCCUGCCUAUAUAACACGAAACCGUCGCCUCCAACGAGGUACGACGUUCAUCGCAUCUUUACAUGGUAUACAGAGCCUCCUCUAUCCACUACAUCAAGAAAACAACCCAUCCCGGUCGCCAGCCAUGUCGUCCUCCUCAAGCAUCGGCCAGUCCUCCCUUCCUGGGCAGGUCACGGAGAAGCUCACCCGCACCAACUACGUGUUGUGGCGUGCGCAGGUGACACCGCAGCUGAGGGGAGCUAGUUUCUUCGGCUACGUCAACCAGACCAUGCCGGAACCUGCCAAGUUCCUCACCACGAAGGACAAGGACGGGAAAGAUGAACAGACGCCGAAUCCUCUUCAUGCGAUCUGGUUCAAGGAAGGACAGCAGGUACUUGGUUACUUGCUAAACAAUCUCACCAAGGAAGUCCUCGUGCAGGUCACAUCCAUAGCUACGCCGCAUGAACUCUGGGCUGCCCUUGCGCAUAUGUUCUCGUCGCAGUCCAGAGCACGCAUCAACAACAUCCGCGCCACACUCUCCACGGCGCAGAAGGGCACGCAAACGGUGGCGGCGUACUUCGCUCACAUGCGAUCUCUCGCAGAUGAGCUUGCAGCCGCGGUAAAACCGAUCGACGACGAUGAACUGGCUUCCUACAUCACCGCCGGCCUCGACAUGGAGUACCAGCCUCUCAUCUCCGCCAACGACGCCCGCACCACGCCCAUCAGCCUCGACGAUCUUUUUGCUCAGAUGAGCAGUUUUGACCAGCGCCUUGCCCUCUACAACGGGGCAGGUUGUGGUGGAGGCUUCAAGUCUUCUGCCAAUGCGGCUGUCUGUGGCCGUGGAGGUGGCGGCUCUCGCUACCAUGGGCGCAACAAGGGCAAGCCAUCGGGCGGAGGCAACAGCAGCAGCGGCAACUCCUUCAACAACGGCGGCGGAGGCGGACGGCCCUUCUACAACAGCAACAGGGGUCGCCGCAACUCCUCUGGCAAGCCUCGCGCGGGCCCCGACGUCACGCGCUGCCAGAUUUGUGGCAAGCCAGGCCACACGGCAAAGGAUUGCUGGUACCGUUUUGAGGAAGAUGAGGAAUCUUCCCAAGAUGAGAAGGUUGCAGCAGCGGCAGAUGGCUCCUACGGAGUCGAUACCAAUUGGUAUGUGGACAGCGGCGCGACAAACCACAUUACAGGCGAGCUGGAAAAGGUGACUGUGCGUGAGAAGUACCGUGGACAGGACCAAGUUCACGCUGCAAAUGGAGAAGGUAUGAGAAUUAGUCAUAUUGGUAAUUCAGUAUUUAAAACUCCCCACAGAAAAAUCCAUCUCAGAAAAAUUUUGCAUAUCCCUAGUGCCUCGAAAAAUCUCCUUUCCGUCCAUCGCAUUGCCCUUGACAACAAUGUCUUUCUUGAAUUUCACCCGUUUUUCUUUUUGAUCAAGGAUCAGGUCACGAAGAAAAUCCUAUAUCGAGGUAGAUGCGUUCGAGGACUUUAUCCGUUGAUUCCGGAGCUUAGGAGACUGAAUAAACAAGCCUUACCCUGUGUCUACGAGUGUUUCUACCAAACCUCUCCAACUCAUUUUUUCUGAUGUUUGGGGGCCUGCCCCUACCUCGGUCGGAAGACACUCUUAUUAUGUUAGCUUUAUCGAUGACUAUAGCAAGUACACAUGGAUCUAUCUUCUUAAGAAACGAUCUGAUGUGUUUCAAGUGUUUCACAAUUUUCAAGCACUUGUAGAAAGAAAAUUUGAUUGCAAAAUUCUUGCUCUCCAAUCUGAUUGGGGAGGAGAAUACAGAAAUCUAAACUCAUUCUUCCAACAAAUUGGCAUAUCUUACCAUGUGUCUUGUCCUCAUGCUCAUCAGCAGAAUGGUUCUGCUGAACGUAAGCAUAGGCACAUCAUUGAAGUGGGUCUUGCCUUGCUUGCUGCUGCAUCCAUGCCACUAAAGUUCUGGGAUGAAGCGUUUCUUACCGCCGUCUAUCUUAUUAACAUAUUGCCUAGUCGGGUCAUCAACAAUGAAACUCCGGUAGAACGCUUGCUUCACACAAAACCUGACUAUACUUCCCUAAGAGUAUUCGGGUGUGCUUGUUGGCCUAAUCUUCGUCCAUACAAUAAUCGCAAGCUCAUGUUUAGAUCAAAACAAUGUGUGUUUCUGGGUUACAGUCCACAACACAAAGGUGUAAAAUUCCUGGAUGUGUCCACCGGACGUGUAUACAUCUCCCGUGACGCUGUGUUUGAUGAAACUGUUUUUCCCUUUGCACAUCUACAUCCAAAUGCUGGUGCGCUUCUUCAAAAAGAAAUCCUUCUUUUACCAUCUCACCUCACCGGCGUUGCCCAAGGAGACGAAUUAAAUACUGAUGAUCCAUUAUUGACUAAUCCUCUUACUAAUGGUGCACAUGAGUAUUGUGAUGAUACAGAAAAAAACAGUGCAGAAAACGCUGAAGAAAUUGAUCAAAUUCAGCAUUUUAUGUGUCCUGGACAUAGCAGCAGCAGUACGGAGGCGAAUCAGCCUUGGGAUCGCGGCGUGUCAGCUUCGGGAUCUGCUCCCUGCGGGUCUGUCCCGCAAUCUCUAGCGGGAUCCGCGCCAGGUGCAGCAGCGCGAUCCGCUCCGGGACUUGCGCCGCGUCACGACACCAACAGCGGCUCGGUGGAUGGCGGCUCGGUGCGCUCCUCCGCUCCGCACCAAUCGUCGCCUGCCGCGUGGCCUGGGCGAUUCGGCGUCGACCCGCGCUGCUACGUGCGGCGCGCAUCAGGACACGGCACGGAAACCCGUCCGGAUCCGGCUGGGGCCACAUCAUCAUCGGCUCAUGAUGAGCCUGCGGCGGAUGGUGGGGCUGGUGCGGGAUCCUCUGCGCCGGUUCCCUCGCGUUCAUCGCCUGCUGCAGCCACAGAAGAUCACACCGCGUCGCCCCAGCCCGACAGCCUACCAUCGGGAUCCACGGCCGAUCCUGCUAGGAGAUCUCCUGUGCAGCCAGCGGGAUCUUCUGCGCCAACUUCUUCACCGCUACGGACAAGGCUUCAAAGGGGAGUAACUCAACCCAAAAAUUAUAAAAGCAUAGUAAAAUUUGGUCUUUCUUGUACUACAGAUGAACCAGCUACUGUUACUGAAGCCUUGAGUGAUGCACGGUGGAAGAAGGCUAUGCAAAAGGAGUACAUGGCGCUUCAGAAAAAUAAAACCUGGCAUCUAGUUCCUGCAUGUCAAGGUAAAAACGUUAUUGAUUGCAAGUGGGUCUACAGAAUUAAGAGAAAAUCUGAUGGAACCAUAGAUCGCUAUAAAGCUAGACUCGUUGCAAAAGGCUUCAAGCAAUGGUAUGGCAUAGACUAUGAAGACACUUUUAGUCCUGUUGUGAAGGCUGCUACUAUUCGUCUUGUCUUGUCUAUUGCUGUAUCCAGGGGAUGGAGUCUACGUCAACUUGAUGUACAGAAUGCGUUUCUUCAUGGCGUUCUGGAAGAGGAAGUGUUCAUGCGACAACCUCCUGGGUUUGAGGAUAAAAACAAACCGCUUCAUGUGUGCAAGCUUGAUAAGGCUUUGUAUGGACUCAAGCAAGCUCCUAGGGCUUGGUAUUCCAGAUUGAGCUCAAAACUUCAAACACUUGGGUUUACUCCUGAAAGAUCGUGGAUGUCGCCUAGAGGGGGGGUGAAUAGGCGUUUUAAAAUAAUUACGGUUUAGGCUUCAACAAAUGCGGAAUAAACCUAGCGGUUAAUUUGUCAAGCACAAAACCUAAAACAACUAGGCUCACCUAUGUGCACCAACAACUUAUGCUAAGCAAUAUAAGCAACUAUGUGAUAGCAAGAUAUAUGACAAAGAACAAUAUGGCUAUCACAAAGUAAAGUGCAUAAGUAAAGGGCUCGAGUAAGAGAUAACCGAGGCACGCGGAGACGAUGAUGUAUCCCGAAGUUCACACCCUUGCGGACGCUAAUCUCCGUUUGGAGCGGUGUGGAGGCACAAUGCUCCCCAAGAAGCCACUAGGGCCACCGUAAUCUCCUCACGCCCUCGCACAAUGCAAGAUGCCGUGAUUCCACUAAGGGACCCUUGAGGGCGGUCACCGAACCCGUACAAAUGGCGACCCUUGGGGGCGGUCACCGAACCCAUACACUUUGGCAACCCUUGGGGGCGGUCACCGGUACCCGUCAAAAUGCUCGGGGCGAUCUCGACAACCUAAUUGGAGACCCCGACGCUUGCCCGGAGCUUUACACCAUAAUGAUUGAGCUCCGAACACCACCAACCGACUAGGGGGCCCAAGCACCCAAGAUAAACAAGCUCAAGGGCACCAAGCACCCAAGAGUAAUAAGCUUCUCAACUUGUAACUUCCACGUACCAUGUGGAGAACUCAAACCGAUGCACCAAAUGCAAUGGCAAGGGCACACGGAGUGCCCAAGUCCUUCUCUCCCAAAUCCCACCAAAGCAACUAAUGCUAGGGAGGAAAAUGAGAGGAAGAACGAAGGAAGAACACGAAGAACUCCAAGAUCCAGAUCCAAGGGGUUCCCCUCACUUAGAGGAGAAAGUGAUUGGUGGAAAUGUGGAUCUAGAUCUCCUCUCUCUUUUCCCUCAAAAACUAGCAAGAAUCCAUGGAGGGAUUGAGAGUUAGCAAGCUCGGAGAAGGUCAACAAUGGGGGAAGAACACGAGCUGAAAGGGAUAAGGUUCAUUGGGGAAGAAGACCCCCUUUUAUAGGAGGGGGGAAAUCCAACCGUUACCCCACUGUACAUCCCCACACAGAGCGGUACUACCGCUGAGAGCGGUACUACCGCUCCCACCCAGCGGUACUACCGCGCUGGCGAGGAGGACAGGGCCCUGGGCCCAGAGCGGUACUACCGUGGGAGUAAGAGCGGUACUACCGCUUGGAGCAGUACUACCGCCACUACUACCACUCCUAGUACCGCAAAACCCGACACGAAAAACAUCGUACUCGAAUCGAGGCGGCAGUAGCCCGGAAGCACUGCGGUACUACGGCCGAAGAUCCCAAGCGGUACUACCGUUCGGAGAGCGGUACUACCGCUUGGAGCGGUACUACCGCUCUGAUAGCGGUACUACCGCUGGGGAGCUUCGGCGGUACUACCGCUGUGGGUCGCGGUACUACCGCUGGGGCAGAGCCAAGCAAACUAAGGGGAAAACGGCAGCUCCAAGGAAAACCAGAACUGCCAGUACUUCUUCAUAUGAGCUCCGAAUUGAGCAAACUCAAGCUUGUUGGAUAGAGCAAGACGAGUAGCAUCAAAACAGCGACUGGUUAUAGUAAGAAGAGGCAGGGGAGGUAUGCUUAGCAAACAAAGGAGUGAAACCUCCAACCGAGAAGAACCGGCAUACCCUCCAACAUCGAAAACAUCAUAGAAGAUGCAUGUGAACUCCGUUUUCGAUGAACUCGAGCUUGUCAUAAAAAUGACCAAAAGCUCCAACACUCACAAGGAGAAGAACCAAACAAGAACCAAUAAAUAUGAUGCAAGGAUGCAAUGGUUUGAGCUCUCUACGAACGAUACGAUCAAGCAACUCAUCGAGAGCCCCCCUUGAUAGUACGACAAUCGAUCCUAUAACUCGGUCUCCCACAACUACCAUGAGACCGGUAAAAUAGAAUACCUAUCAAGGGCAAACCUUUGCCUUGCACAAAGUCCACUUGAGCUAGAUGAUGAUGAUCUACUCCUCCUCAAGAUGGACCACCUUUCUUGAUUGCGUUGGCUCGAUGAAGACUAGUUGAUUGCUCCCCCAUACUCCACUAUGGGUGAGCCACUCUUCCGCUCAUCUUCACAAGUCCAUUGUCACCAUAAUGGACGGCAAGCUUCAAGCACUUGAUCUCUUCGUGAUACAUCACUUGAACUUGCACACCGCAACCUAACCCCACAAAGAACUCUCACGAAGACCAUGGGUUAGCACACAAAGCGUAAUGGACAAUGCUUACCAUACCAUGGGACUUGAUCCCUCGGUACAUCUUGUGCGCUUUGUGUGUUGACUCUUUUCAACUCUCUUCAUUUGGAUGAUGUCUUGAAGGUGGACAUGAAUGAUCACACAAUCUUAUUCUUCAAGACAUGCUUGCAAUAAGAUCAACACUCACAUGACCGAUCUUUGGAUAAUUCCUUAAUAGCACCGUGGUCAUCACAAACUCUCCUUGAAACCAACAAAUGGACUCCAAGAAAAGCCUAUGGACAAACCCUUCAAAUGUAACUCAAGGAAACCAUUAGUCCAUAGAGAUUGUCAUCAAUUACCAAAACCAAACAUGGGGGCACCGCAUGUUCUUUCAACUCCUUCUAGAUCUGACACCUCACUGUUUAUCUAUAAUAAGUCAAAUACCUCCAUAUUUGUCCUAAUAUAUGUUGAUGAUAUUAUCGUCACAAGUUCAUCAAAUGAGGCUGUUACAGGACUGCUAAAGGAUUUAAACUCUGAGUUUGCUCUUAAGGAUCUAGGAGACUUGCACUAUUUUCUUGGGAUUGAAGUUAAGAAGAAUGGAGAUAGUCUUCACUUAUCUCAAGAGAAGUAUGCAACUGAUCUUGUAGCCAGAGCAAGAUUCAAGGUUGUAAGCCAGCUCCAACACCUUUAUCCAGUACCGAAAAAUUAUCCUUGUCAGAAGGAGAUCUCUUGAAUCAAGAGGAUAGCACCAGGUACAGAAGUAUGGUUGGUGCACUACAGUACUUAACUCUGACUAGACCUGAUAUCUCUUUUGCUGUCAAUAAAGUAUGCCAAUUUCUUCAUGCACCCACUACAGUACAUUUGACAGCUGCAAAACGCAUACUUAGAUAUGUUAAAGAUACCUUGAGCCUUGGAUUAACAUUCAGCAAGUCAUCAUCAACUCUUGUCAGUGCAUUCUCUGAUUCUGACUGGGCAGGUUGUCUGGAUGAUAGGCGCUCAACAGGUGGUUUUGCAGUCUUCUUUGGUCCUAACCUAAUCUCUUGGUGUGCAAAGAAACAAGCUACUGUAUCCAGGUCUAGUACAGAAGCAGAAUAUAAAGCAUUAGCUAAUGCCACGGCAGAAAUCAUUUGGGUUCAGUCCUUGUUGAGAGAGCUUGGCAUACGUUGCAAACAAGCUCUGUGUUUAUGGUGUGACAAUCUUGGUGCCACAUAUCUUUCUGCUAAUCCUAUCUUUCAUGCAAGGACCAAACACAUCGAAAUCGAUUUCCACUUUGUCAGAGAAAGAGUUGCUGCCAAGAAGUUGGAUAUUCGGUUCAUUCACUCUCAAGAUCAAGUUGCAGAUGGUUUUACCAAAGCCUUACCUACAAGAAAUUUCGAAGAAUUCAAACGUAAUCUCAACUUGACUAAGUUGUGAUUAUGGGAGGGUGUUAAACGUGAUAUGCAAGGCGUGCUAGGCUGGUCCCACCUGAGCCGAACUAGGUUAGUUAGAGAUAGAGUUAGGCAAUAUUCUUGUAAUCUCUUUCAUCUCUAUCUUCUCUCUUUGACUUGGUUCGCAAGAUGUAAUCGUACCUACCUGUAUGCUUAUCUCAGGGAUACGACCCUGCCUAUAUAACACGAAACCGUCGCCUCCAACGAGGUACGACGUUCAUCGCAUCUUUACA